rnacentral:rRNA from 1 species
AGAUCAGCAAAUAAGAGCAUACGACGGAUGCCUUGGCACCGUAAGAGCGAUGAAGGACGUGACUAGCUGCGAAAAGACUCGGGAAGCUGCUAAAUAAGCAAUGAUCCGGGUAUGUCCGAAUGGGGGAACCCUGCGCUUCGGCGUAAUCGUGCAUAGCACGAGGCAAACCUGGGGAACUGAAACAUCUCAGUACCCAGAGGAAUAGAAAUCAAUUGAGAUUCUGUGAGUAGUGGCGAGCGAAAGCGGAAUAGCCCAAACCUGGUUCAGUUUAUGGACUGGGGGUUGUGGGGUGUGACAUAUGGGGUAGGUUUUAUGGUAGAAGAAUUCUUUUGGAAAAAGAAACCACAGAGAGUGAUAGUCUCGUAUUCAAAACCUGAAAACCUGCAUCGUUACAUACCCGAGUAGAGCGGGACACGUGGAACCCUGCUUGAAUCUGGGAGGACCAUCUUCCAAGGCUAAAUAUCUUCGGUGACCGAUAGUGUAGAGUACCGUGAGGGAAUGGUGAAAAGAACCCCGAGAGGGGAGUGAAAUAGAUCCUGAAAUCGUAUGCUUACAAGCAGUCGGAGCGAAAGUGACGGCGUGCCUUUUGCAUAAUGAGCUAGCGAGUUAAUAUGUCGUGCGAGGUUAAGGUAUUCAGUACCGGAGCCGUAGUGAAAGCGAGGCUUAAGAGGCCGAAUAGUACGAUGUUUUAGACCCGAAACCCGGUGAUCUAUCCAUGAGCAGGCUGAAGCAGAGGUAAUACUUUGUGGAGGGCCGAACCCGUUGAAGUUGAAAUUUCUUGGGAUGACUUGUGGAUCGGAGUGAAAGGCUAAUCAAACUGGGUGAUAGCUGGUUCUCCUCGAAAUAUAUUUAGGUGUAGCGUGUAGUGUUUCCUGUCGGGGGUAAAGCACUGAUUGAGCUAGGGGUCCUAACAGAUUACCAAACUCAGUUAAACUCUGAAUACCGAUUAGGUUAAGCUAUGCAGUGAGUCGUGUGGUGAUAAGGUCGUGCGACAAAAGGGAAAGAGCCCAGACCACCAGCUAAGGUCCCUAAGACGAUACUAAGUGGAAAACGUUGUGUAGAUGCGAAGACAGCCAGGAGGUUGGCUUAGAAGCAGCCAUCCUUUAAAGAAAGCGUAAUAGCUCACUGGUCAAGUGUUUGUGCGCGGAAGAUAUAACGGGUCUUAAGUAUCGCACCGAAGCUGUGGAUUCAAUGAACGCUUGCGUUGAUUGAAUGGUAGAGGAGCAUUGUUGCAACCGUUGAAGAUGUUCGGUGACGAAUGUUGGAGGAACAACAAGAGAUUAUGCUAGCAUGAGUAGCGAUAAGGGGGGUGAAAAACCCUCCCGCCGGAAGCCUAAGGUUUCCUGGGACAGGAUAAUCCUACCAGGUUAAGCCGGACCCUAAGGCGAGGCCGCAAGGCGUAGUCGAUGGGAAACGGGUUAAUAUUCCCGUGCCAGGGGCGUGGAGUGAUGCAGGGACGAAGAAGGGUAGCUGGGCCUAAGACAGGUUGUUUAGGUUUAAGCCUGUAGGUAGAGUGUGGUGGUAAGUCCCCAUGCUUAAUACCGAGGGGUGAAUAGGAGCACUACGGUGCAUAACUCAGUGAUCCCAUGCUUACAAGAAAAGCUGCUAAACGUUGAAACGUUCUUGACCGUACUACAAACCGACACAGGUGGGCAGGAAGAAAAUUCCAAGGCGUUUGGGUGAAACAUUGUUAAGGAACUCGGCAAAAUGACACUGUAACUUCGGGAGAAGGUGUGCCAGCAGGGUGUAAGACUUCGCGUCUGAAGCCUAGUCUGGUUGCAGAGAAUUGGGGGUAGCGACUGUUUACCAAAAACAUAGCACUACGCAAAAUCGCAAGAUGAAGUAUGUGGUGUGACGCCUGCCCGGUGCUGGAAGGUUAAGAGGAGAGGUUAUGAGACUUGUCUCAGAAGCUUUGAAUUGAAGCCCCAGUAAACGGCGGCCGUAACUAUGACGGUCCUAAGGUAGCGAAAUUCCUUGUCGGGUAAGUUCCGACCUGCACGAAUGGCGUAACGACUUCCCCGCUGUCUCAACAAUGUGCCCAGCGAAAUUGAAUACAGAGUGCAGAUGCUCUGUACCCGCAGCAAGACGAAAAGACCCCAUGAACCUUUACUAUAGCUUGACAUUGUUACUCGUGUGGUAAUGUGUAGGAUAGGUGGGACACUUUGAAGCAUAGACGUCAGUUUGUGUGGAGUGGCCAGUGAAAUACCACCCUUUACCAUCUGGGUAUCUAACCUCGUGCAUUGAAUCAUGCACAGGGACCGUGUCUGGUGGGUAGUUUGACUGGGGCGGUCGCCUCCUAAAGUGUAACGGAGGCGCGCAAAGGUUUGCUCAGAUCGGAUGGAAAUCGAUCGUAGAGUGCAAAGGCAUAAGCAAGCUUAACUGCAAGACUGACAGGUCGAGCAGAUACGAAAGUAGGUCUUAGUGACCCGGUGGUUCCGAAUGGACGGGCCAUCGCUCAACGGAUAAAAGGUCCUCUGGGGAUAACAGGCUUAUCUCCUCCAAGAGUUCACAUCGACGAGGAGGUUUGGCACCUCGAUGUCGGCUCAUCACAUCCUGGGGCUGAAGCAGGUCCCAAGGGUUCGGCUGUUCGCCGAUUAAAGUGGUACGCGAGCUGGGUUCAGAACGUCGUGAGACAGUUCGGUCUCUAUCUGCUGUGGGCGUAGGAAAUUUGACGAGAGCUGACCCUAGUACGAGAGGACCGGGUUGGACACACCACUGGUGUACCAGUUGUCUCGCCCGAGGCACUGCUGGGUAGCUACGUGUGGAAGAGAUAACCGCUGAAAGCAUCUAAGUGGGAAGCUCACUCGAAGAUAAGAUUUCCCUAUCUUUUAAGAUACUCAAGAUCCGUUCAAGACUAGGACGUUGAUAGGAUGGGGGUGGAAGUGCAGUAAUGUAUGAAGCUGACCAUUACUAAUUGAUCGUGAGGCUUAUCUUA